rnacentral:miRNA from 1 species
UGGGACGACUAACCAUCCUGGUUUGCCUGGGACUGAGUGGUUUCCCAGGUGCUCAAGCCUGUACAGUCCCAGACAAACAGGGAUAG